rnacentral:misc_RNA from 1 species
GAUGAAGAACGCAGCGAAAUGCGAUAACUAGUGUGAAUUGCAGAAUUCAGUGAACCAUCGAAUCUUUGAACGCACAUUGCGCCCGGCAGUAAUCUGCCGGGCAUGCCUGUCCGAGCGUCAUUUCUCCCCUCGAGCGCAGCUUUCCCCCCCGGGGGAGGGCCGCGCCCGGUGUUGGGGCGCUACGGAGGAGCCCAGCGCUCCCCCGUAGGCCCCGAAAUGUAGUGGCGGUCCCGCCGCGGCGCCCCCUGCGUAGUAGUUUUACAACUCGCAUCGGGUCCCGGCGGAGGCCAGCCGUCAAACCCCCCAACUUCAAUAGUUUGACCUCGGAUCAGGUAGGGUUACCCGCUGAACUUAAGCAUAUCAAAAGCGGAGGA